rnacentral:rRNA from 1 species
UGCUUUCUCUUGAGAUCGCGCGGACGGGUGAGUAAUGCCUAGGAAUCUGCCUGGUAGUGGGGGAUAACGCUCGGAAACGGACGCUAAUACCGCAUACGUCCUACGGGAGAAAGCAGGGGACCUUCGGGCCUUGCGCUAUCAGAUGAGCCUAGGUCGGAUUAGCUAGUUGGUGAGGUAAUGGCUCACCAAGGCGACGAUCCGUAACUGGUCUGAGAGGAUGAUCAGUCACACUGGAACUGAGACACGGUCCAGACUCCUACGGGAGGCAGCAGUGGGGAAUAUUGGACAAUGGGCGAAAGCCUGAUCCAGCCAUGCCGCGUGUGUGAAGAAGGUCUUCGGAUUGUAAAGCACUUUAAGUUGGGAGGAAGGGCAGUUACCUAAUACGUAUCUGUUUUGACGUUACCGACAGAAUAAGCACCGGCUAACUCUGUGCCAGCAGCCGCGGUAAUACAGAGGGUGCAAGCGUUAAUCGGAAUUACUGGGCGUAAAGCGCGCGUAGGUGGUUUGUUAAGUUGGAUGUGAAAUCCCCGGGCUCAACCUGGGAACUGCAUUCAAAACUGACAAGCUAGAGUAUGGUAGAGGGUGGUGGAAUUUCCUGUGUAGCGGUGAAAUGCGUAGAUAUAGGAAGGAACACCAGUGGCGAAGUGCGACCACCUGGACUGAUACUGACACUGAGGGUGCGAAAGCGUGGGGAGCAAACUGU